UACGUAGGGUGCGAGCGUUGUCCGGAAUUAUUGGGCGUAAAGAGCUCGUAGGCGGUUUGUCGCGUCGACUGUGAAAACCUGGGGCUUAACUCUGGGCCUGCAGUCGAUACGGGCAGACUUGAGUUCGGUAGGGGAGACUGGAAUUCCUGGUGUAGCGGUGAAAUGCGCAGAUAUCAGGAGGAACACCGGUGGCGAAGACGGGUCUCUGGGCCGAUACUGACGCUGAGGAGCGAAAGCGUGGGGAGCGAACAGG
rnacentral:rRNA from 1 species